GAGAACGGAAGUGCGCGUCGUGUGUAGUAUGUUUCAAGUUGUUAAAUUUAAUGGUGUAAAGUGUUUAAAAAUUCAUUCCUACUAUUUACAGAUUAAAAGUCAAGCCUUUGCAAACAAACACGUUAAAAAAAACUAGAAAACUGUGUUAAACUUAUCGAUAAUAGUACGCUAAAACAAACUGGUAAAAUCACACACAACAUCCAGUGCAACGACACAUUCUACAAGAAAAACAACAUAAAAAGGUCCAAGAGGGCCUUUUUUGUUUUGCUCUAUUCUUUUCCCGUUGGCUAAACAACACACGGCACAACAAACAGAAUCCAGGCAGAAAGAACCGAUCAGCUCGCUAAAACCCCAAUCCACACGGUAUCAACAUCGGACGGCAGAAAACGAGGUUAGCAACAACACCCAUCUGCUGCUCGCGGGCUCUUCCGGGACGCCGGAAUGGAGCCUGUGAGGGUCUGGCCGAUUCCAUCUGACACGAGUGGCAACCGGAAGAAAUUAAACGGUUCCUGUACGUCGGGAUCCGAAGCAUAGCAUAAUGACCAGCCAAACAAUCAUUAUAACCACACACCAUUAUAACCACCACGAAUGCAAAAC